rnacentral:misc_RNA from 1 species
UUAAGUUCAGCGGGUAGUCCUACCUGAUCCGAGGUCAACGUUCAGAGUUGGGGGUUUCACGGCGGGGCCGCGUCGGGUUUCCGGUGCGAGCUGUAGUACUUCGCAGAGGUCGCCGCGGACGGGCCGCCACUCCAUUCAGGGCCUGCGGCAGCCGCAGGUCCCCAACACAAGCCGGGGGCUUGAUGGUUGAAAUGACGCUC